ACUCAAUGGACAUGGCAGUUCACUAGGAGGAUGUUUGCGGUCUCAGGUUGUCAUGACAACAGAAGUAGAGGCAGUCUCAGUGGGGACAGGGUCAGCCAGAAGAGCUUUCCCCAUCUGCCAUCCUGAACUCCAGCUUGGAGAAGGUUUCCUGCUCAGCUCAGCCGAGCAGCCCUGGCCAGGAAGGCCAGGGAACAGGAGAGCCAUGUAGGGGACCUUUUGCUGAUGACCCAUGUGGAAAUGCCCCUUCUGAGACCCAGGAACCCCCUCAGACUCCCAUCAUCCUUCGCCCUCCUACAGAGGGGAGCAAAGAGAACUGGACUGUGACUCAGGCUUUGGGAGCAGACCCUGCAGCAUGGUGGUGCAUGCAGUCCCUUUAGGACUGACAUCCAUGGCAAGCCCAGGCCCAGGCUCCAGGCUGAGUGACAGCUGCAACUGUCUGGCUUCUUUGUGGAGGAUGUUCCCUGAACAGACAUUCUGUUCUCUCCAAACACCCACAGACUACAUCCAGAUCAAACCUAUCAUGUCCUGUGGGGAAUCACCUAAAGGUUCUGCAGGAAGAAAUUCUCCAAGCAAAACCUCCUUAUCAUGCAUGUUCCAGAGAUAGCUCAGUGAGUAUAGGCAUUUGCCAUCAAACUGGAUGACCGGAGUUUGAUCCCUGGGACCCAUAUGAUAAAAGGAGAGAAUCGACUAUCACAAGUCAUCCUCUGACCCCCUGCUCUGUGCACACACAUAGACAUAAUACAAUAAAUAGCUAACUAGAUAUAAAAACAACACCCUAAAACAAGCAAAGGAGAGAUGGACAGAGAAAUCUGUGGUUAAGAGCACUUGCUGCUUUUCCAGAGCUCAGUUCCCAGCACCCACAUUGGGUUGCUCACAACCACCUAUAACUCUAGCUCCCCGGGGUCUCACAUCCUCUUUUGGCCUUUGCCACAUGUAUGUGCAUGCAUGCACAUGUGCACACACAUAUGUAUAAUUAAAUACAUCUUAAAACCUCCAUACCAACUGUGGUAGGAGGUUGUCUUGAUGAAGUUUCUUGGGUAUGAUGGCGCACACCUGUAAUCCCAGCAUUUGGAAGGUAGAGGCAGGAGGGUUAGAAGUUCAAAACAAUUCUAGGCUGCAGGAGAUCCUGUCUGAGACAAACAAGCAAAAACCAAACAACCAAGAAACGAACAAACAAAAAAGUUCUUGCUGGGUGAGGUGGUGCACCACUGUCAUACCUUUAAUCCCAGCACUCGGGGAGGCAGAGACAGGCAAUUUAAGGCUGGCCUGACUCCAUAGCAAGUUCCAGGCCAGCUAGAGCAACACAGUGAGGCCCUGUCUCAAUAUAUGCAUGGUUCAGCACUGGCAAUCCCAGCUCUGUACAAAGCAAACAAUGAAGACAAGUUAGACACUUGAAGAAGCAUCCAAAAUGAGGCUUAAAGAAUCAACAAAUUACAAGCAAUAUUCUAUUUCCAUAGAAACAACCCAGAAAUUAGAGCAAAGCAGUAAACAUUGGAUAUGAAGUAUUUGUUUAAUCCUAAACAAUAAUAAAUGUUUUAAACUGCUUUUCCCAGGAUUAUUUAACAUGAUCACAUGGCACAAAGCAGCUAUCUCUAAUGUCUUUUUACUUCUAUGUCAUUUUUUCCAUUUGACUCAUUUCUGCAAAAUGAGGAUGGAAUAAUGAAAUUAAAAAAAUACAAUGAGCCCCUGCCUUCCCCUCUAAAACCCCAUAGCUCAUAUGACUGACAAGGAAUAAAGACUCUGGGUCCUGGUAGCAUUUUUAUUUAGAAAAAAAUGCAUCUUGAAUAUGAAUUCAGGUGAUGUCCCACUCGCUGUGGCACUGCCAAUCACAGCCUGCGUUUAUUAGUCUAGGCUGAUGAUCUUUGCGAACAGCAUGUAGUUGCCAGGCUCUCCAGCUGUAGUCUCCAUUACUCAGUGCUAGAAAUGAAAUCAAAAGGUCAUGACGCGUGGACAUAGAAAAAAGCACAGUGGUAAUGCCCCCAAAGCCUUCUGGGAAAUGGGAAAUGAGAAAUGAAAUGACUCAGCGGGUAAACGUGCCUAUCAUUGAGUUUGACUACCUGAGUUCAAGUCCCUGGGACCCACAUAGGGGCAGGGAGGGGAGAAUGGAUCCCUGCAAGGUAGUCUCUGAUCUGCAGGAGCCCAACACCCUCAAGCAUGCAAAAGUAAUAAAUAAAAGCAUAAUGAAAAAUUAACAAGCAAAUAAAUGCCAACCACAAAAGCCACUGAUAGUGGGUGAUGUCGGAAAACCCUGGAUGCUCUGUGAAGGCUAACCUGCAUCUCCAAGACCAGAACCUACUCCCAACUGCCAUGAUGAAACAGUGACUCACCUCCCACCACUGCUGGCGACACUCAUGGAUGAUGAAGAAGAAAACAAGCAAGGGGAAGAAGGAGGUACUUUUCGAGGUCGGGAUGCCCUUCCCAAGGACUUCUCUGAGCCAACGUGGUCCUGAUGCUGGUGUUGGGUGGCAACAAUGUGCACAGUAAGAUCUGAUGCUUGCUACCAGACACAAAACGAGUGCAUAGCUGUAGCACUGGGUAUGACCCAGUGUUAACGUUACUUCCCCGAGGCACCCUUACCCAAUGUGAAUGGAUAAGUCACUGCGAUGUGGAGUUAAUCUCAUUGUUUGCAUUCCACAGUUUAUUUAAAUCCAUCAUGCUUGCCCUUGGUCUAUUUAAUAUCCACAAAAUCAUAGCUUCUCAGAACUGGAUGGAAUCUUAGAUAACGGCUAAUCUUACUUCAACUGGCUUAUGACAUGUCUGAACAUAAAAUAUACACACUCUC